rnacentral:rRNA from 1 species
AACGUAGGGGACAAGCGUUAUCCGGAUUUACUGGGCGUAAAGCGCCCGUAGGCGGCCUGAUAAGUUGGACGUGAAAGCUCCCGGCUUAACUGGGAGAGGCCGUUCAAAACUGUGAGGCUAGAGUGAGGCAGAGGAGCGCGGAAUUCCCGGUGUAGUGGUGGAAUGCGUAGAGAUCGGGAGGAACACCAGUGGCGAAAGCGGCGCUCUGGGCCUAAACUGACGCUGAGGGGCGAAAGCGUGGGGAGCGAACGGG